GCUGAAUUGUAAGAUAUAUAGAUCAUAAUCCUACAUUUCUUGUUUUUGUUUUUUUGUUGUGCCAUCCAGUGAGAACUCCGGUGAGAAGACCCACUGUGGAGAGCAAUAUGGUGAAAAACAGAGACAAGAAACAUCAGUUAAUUUAUCAGGCUACAGUGCCAAUAAGUGGAUACUCAAGCAAAGCAGACCAGACUGCGCAGGAUGAAGAGGUGUUGGACAGUGGUGUGCAGGUGGCGGUGGACGUGUCUCAGCUGCAGAGGGCUGGUGUGGUGCAUCGUGGGCAGGUUUUUGGACUCAGUGCUCUCUCUCUGGAGGAGCAGAGACUGCUGCAGUCUCUGGACAGACUCAACCACCGCCUGCAGUAUGUUCAGGACAUGUCUGCAGGAAAUACCGCACUGAAAGGAGUCUUCACGUUGGAUUCUGCAAAUAACCAGUCUCCCCAGACCGGUGAGGUUUUGGGUGGCACUCAGCGCAGGUACCACAACGGCUCAGCUGCUGAAAACCGCACCCGUUCACACAGACGCUACUGACUCCAGCUCCCAGAAUGCACUUCUCUCCAGCCUCACCGCCUUCCAGCCUAUCCCGGACUGCACUUUUAAGGACAACUUCUGCCCCACAUUUUUAUUAUAUGGUGGAUUAUCACAGACAAUGAUUUUCAUGUUUUAAAAAAAUCUGAGAACCUGCUGGUUCUGCACGUUUUGGCUCAACUGGUUAUCUGUUAUAGAAAAAAAAAAUGCAGAUUAAGCAUAACGUCCUUGUUUCUACACCCAUUAUCUAUCUUAACAUAUAGCAGCACUUUGUAGUUCUAUAAUUGUCCUGAGUAUUGAAGAACAGGAUGAAAGGAGAAUAAUAAUAAAGUAUAGAUUAUACAGAGAAACA
rnacentral:lncRNA from 1 species